rnacentral:rRNA from 1 species
CGGCAGACGGGUGAGUAAUGCAUGGGAAUCUACCCAGCUCUACGGAAUAACUCAGGGAAACUUGAACUAAUACCGUAUGCGCCCUUCGGGGGAAAGAUUUAUCGGAGUUGGAUGAGCCCAUGUCUGAUUAGCUAGUUGGUGGGGUAAAGGCCUACCAAGGCGACGAUCAGUAGCUGGUCUGAGAGGAUGAUCAGCCACACUGGGACUGAGACACGGCCCAGACUCCUACGGGAGGCAGCAGUGGGGAAUAUUGGACAAUGGGCGCAAGCCUGAUCCAGCCAUGCCGCGUGAGUGAUGAAGGCCCUAGGGUUGUAAAGCUCUUUCACCGGUGAAGAUAAUGACGGUAACCGGAGAAGAAGCCCCGGCUAACUUCGUGCCAGCAGCCGCGGUAAUACGAAGGGGGCUAGCGUUGUUCGGAAUUACUGGGCGUAAAGCGCGCGUAGGCGGAUCGGUCAGUUAGGGGUGAAAUCCCGGGGCUCAACCCCGGAACUGCCUCUAAUACUGCCGAUCUAGAGUUCGAGAGAGGUGAGUGGAAUUCCGAGUGUAGAGGUGAAAUUCGUAGAUAUUCGGAGGAACACCAGUGGCGAAAGCGGCUCACUGGCUCGAUACUGACGCU